CCGGAUUAAUACCGCAUACGAUCUACGGAUGAAAGCGGGGGACAUUCGGGCCCUCGCGCUAUAGGGUUGGCCGAUGGCUGAUUAGCUAGUUGGUGGGGUAAAGGCCUACCAAGGCGACGAUCAGUAGCUGGUCUGAGAGGACGACCAGCCACACUGGGACUGAGACACGGCCCAGACUCCUACGGGAGGCAGCAGUGGGGAAUUUUGGACAAUGGGCGAAAGCCUGAUCCAGCAAUGCCGCGUGUGUGAAGAAGGCCUUCGGGUUGUAAAGCACUUUUGUCCGGAAAGAAAUCCUUGGCUCUAAUACAGUCGGGGGAUGACGGUACCGGAAGAAUAAGCACCGGCUAACUACGUGCCAGCAGCCGCGGUAAUACGUAGGGUGCAAGCGUUAAUCGGAAUUACUGGGCGUAAAGCGUGCGCAGGCGGUUUGCUAAGACCGAUGUGAAAUCCCCGGGCUCAACCUGGGAACUGCAUUGGUGACUGGCAGGCUAGAGUAUGGCAGAGGGGGGUAGAAUUCCACGUGUAGCAGUGAAAUGCGUAGAGAUGUGGAGGAAUACCGAUGGCGAAGGCAGCCCCCUGGGCCAAUACUGACGCUCAUGCACGAAAGCGUGGGGAG
rnacentral:rRNA from 1 species